CCUACGGGCGGCAGCAGUGGGGGAUAUUGCACAAUGGGGGAAACCCUGAUGCAGCGACGCCGCGUGGGUGAAGAAGGGCCUCGGCGUGUAAAGCCUCGUUUGUAGGGAAGAAAAUGACGGUACCUGUAGAAGAAGCCCCGGCUAACUACGGGCCAGCAGCCGCGGCAAUACGUCGGGGGCCAGCGUUAUCCGGAUUUACUGGGUGUAAAGGGGGCGUAGACGGCGAUGAAAGACAGGAGUGAAAGCCCGGGGCCCAACCCCGGGACUGCUCUUGAAACUGGGUGGCUAGAGUGCAGGAGGGGCAGGCGGAAUUCCUGGUGUAGCGGUGAAAUGCGUAGAUAUCAGGAGGAACACCGGUGGCGAAGGCGGCCUGCUGGACUGCAACUGACGUUGAGGCCCGAAAGCGUGGGGAGCAAACAGGAUUAGAUACCCGGGUAGUC
rnacentral:rRNA from 1 species